rnacentral:rRNA from 1 species
AUUGAACGCUGGCGGCAGGCCUAACACAUGCAAGUCGAGCGACCGGCGGACGGGUGAGUAAUAUGAGGGGGCUGCUAGAUGGAGGGGGAUUCCUACUGGAAACGGUAGAUAAUACUGCAUACAAUCGGAUGACCCAUAUGGGGUUAGCUAGUAGGUGAGGUAAUGGCUCACCUAGGCGACGGUCCCUAGUUGGUCUGAGAGGAUGCUCAGCCACACUGGGACUGAGACACGGCCCAGACUCCUACGGAGGCAGCAGUGGGGAAUAGUGCACAAUGGGCGAAAGCCUGAUGAAGCCAUGCCGCGUGUAUGAAGAAGGCCCUAGGGUUGUAAAGUACUUUCAGUCGGGAGGCGUUACCGACAGAAGAAGCACCGGCUAACUCCGUGCCAGCAGCCGCGGUAAUAC